rnacentral:siRNA from 1 species
CCCGCUAUGUAGGGAUACCCCA